CAGUUAUUUCCCUAUUCGACAACAGCUAUAGGUGCUGACUUGAGGCUGCUUGAACAACGAAACACUUUCGGAAUAUAUUAAAAGCCUGUCCACAAAGAACGGGAUAAGCAAGCCUCACAGAAGUAAUUCGAAGCAGCAUAAAGGGAGGAAGGAGUGGACAUUGUACAUGGUGGACGUGAUAACGGGAUCUACGUCUGGCGCAGGGACAGGCUGUGACAUCUCUCUUAUACUACUUGGGGACAAGGGUAUGGUCACCAAGAAACUGCGGAAGAAAGGUUUUGUAUUCAAGCUGGGAUCUGUAGGUCAUUUUGAGUUUCGUGAACUAUUUGUUGGCAAACUAAAAACGAUUAAGGUGAAAAUCGUGAAGAAAGGAAUCGUCCCAUCUUGGGCUUGGCAGCUCGACGCGAUGACAGUUACUGUUAUGGAUGGUGUGCACACGUACAAGUACGUCGCCAGUGUAAACAUUUGGCUCGGUGAAUUUUCUGGGAAAACUUCCAUGGAAACAGUUGACUUGGCAUUUAAACAGCUGUAAAAAUUACAUCGGAUUUAUUUUCACGCGGACCUCGGGACUGAAUAGGACUUAGUACCCCAUGAAUAUAUUGAGAGCCGUCCUAUUAUGAGAAUUGGGUGUUUACAGUGUGUCACCUGGCUACAGUGUUGUAAUCUAUAAACUUCUAUAUAUGUGUUG